UGGGGCAGAGAAAAAGGGAUAGAUGGGAAAACAGCAGACCAGGGUUGUAUUUAUUGGGGUGUGAGUGCCACGCUGUAGGCUGUGGGAGAGUGCAAGGUGUUGCUGUUAGGUGUGGUUGGGUUUACAGAAAGGUAUAAGCAUGCACAGAUAGGAUGGUGGAGGAAAAAAGAGGGAGAGAUGGAAGGAUUGGUCAUGCACAAGGCUGAAGAGAAGAAGGGUCAGGGAGGUGUGGAGAGAGAAGAGAAAAUGAGGCUCCUUCCUCUUCCAUUGUUUGAAAGGACAAGGACAAGAAAAGCAAUGGCAGAACAGGAAAAACUGAGGCAGCCAUCUGUGGCGCCAACUCACAC